ensembl:lncRNA
AGUGGAGACAGGAUUACUUCAUCCUGAUGUAAAUCUCUGCGGCCCCCUGCACGCUUCUUCCUCAGAGAGGAGCUGAGCAUAUGGAGCUGGUCUCUGCAGGAGGCUGGAGAAUCUACAGCUACUGUAUAAUCUAUAUAUUUCUCUGGCGUUCAUCGCACACAGCUCGAAGGCGGUUGUGCCGUGUGAGGAAUCCUGAGAAUACCAGGCUGCUUUACUGUUUAUGACAUCACAUGGGCACUGAACACAGAUCAAAGAAGAACCCGUGACAUUUCAGGCAUCUAACUUCAUUCCAUGCUGUCCGCGGCUUCAUCUCCAGACGUGACGACUGCAGGAAGUGCUGCUAUUCUCUCUCUGAGCAGCUGCGAUCUGCGUUUGGAGAGGAGUGAACGAGCGUUUAGUUCUACUGACUGACAAACAAAGCACAGACAAAAGAGAGAGCAGUAUUUUGUCCGAGACGGAAAUUAAUGUCAUGCUAAAGUCAAUCAAUAGGGUUUAUCCAUUAGCUGCAUUGGAUUUCUGAGUGUACACAGGAAGUAGUUUAGCGCUCACAUGAAUGAGAUAUUUAUGUGAUUGACAAUGGUUUAUAUUGAUUAGUGUGAAUAAAGUGUUAGGAAAUCAUAUAUUUCCACUAGGCCACGACACUUUUUUUAUCUCGGGAAUAAAAAGGUACACUCUAACCAUUACUGUAAUUAGAUAUCCGUGAAUAGAUGAGAAUUAAAGAUAAUUUAAAGCAAUUGAGCCGCUUUGAGACGUGAAUGUAUUACUCUGUGAUGAGCUGUUCACAAUUCAGUGUUCCCCUCUAAAACAGCAUUCGUUCUCUGGAGACUCGCUGAUGAAUAUUCAUAAGGUUGUUUCGGAGAUAAAAAGAUAAAUUGGUGUGAACCACAUUAAUUUUUGAAGCACACAAAUGUUAUUUUUGUUGUGUUUAGAGUCUGGAAAUAGAGCUAUAUCCUGAGGACAUGCUGUGAUCUGCUAACUUUGCUCAGAAUGUGAUCUGUCUCUUUAACUUGUAUGUUUCUGUUUGUAUUUUCUGCCGUAAUGAAAUCACUGACAUGUCUAUCAUUUUAAUGAGAGCCUUAUUCAUGUACAUUAAUCAUAUGCAUUUGCCACGCUUAAAUGAAAUGCAUACACAUACAAAUACAUACAUUUUUUU